ensembl:lncRNA
GGUACAGUGAGUGUAGAAGGGAGAGUGAGGGUAGAGGGGGUGUAGAAGGGAGAGUGAGUGUAGAAGGGAGAGUGAGGGUACAGUGAGUGUAGAAGGGAGAGUGAGGGUAGAGGGGGUGUAGAAGGGAGAGUGAGGGGAGAAGGGAGAGUGAGGGUAGAAGGGAGAGUGAGGGUAGAAGGGGAAGUGAGGGUAGAGGGGGUGUAGAAGGGAGAGUGUAAGCAACGGCAUAGUGGGUCUCUUACUAAGAGAACAAUGUAGGAGAAUAGUAUGAAAUGGUGACCCUUUCAGAGACAGUGUUCUUCUGAAGGCUGUGUUUUUGGGGAAAGACAGAAGCUACGAGGCUUAGCUCUUAUACACCACAGCCACAGAUUGCUCCAGAGACUAUGU